rnacentral:rRNA from 1 species
GAUGAACGCUGGCGGCGUGCCUAAUGCAUGCAAGUCGAGCGAACAGAUGAGGAGCUUGCUCCUCUGACGUUAGCGGCGGACGGGUGAGUAACACGUGGAUAACCUACCUAUAAGACUGGGAUAACUUCGGGAAACCGGAGCUAAUACCGGAUAAUAUAUUGAACCGCAUGGUUCAAUAGUGAAAGACGGUUUUGCUGUCACUUAUAGAUGGAUCCGCGCCGCAUUAGCUAGUUGGUAAGGUAACGGCUUACCAAGGCAACGAUGCGGAGCCGAACUGAGAGGGUGAUCGGCCACACUGGAACUGAGACACGGUCCAGACUCCUACGGGAGGCAGCAGUAGGGAAUCUUCCGCAAUGGGCGAAAGCCUGACGGAGCAACGCCGCGUGAGUGAUGAAGGUCUUCGGAUCGUAAAACUCUGUUAUUAGGGAAGAACAAAUGUGUAAGUAACUAUGCACGUCUUGACGGUACCUAAUCAGAAAGCCACGGCUAACUACGUG